AAUAAGAUGCCUGAAAAAGGGAAAUUUUGAUAGAAUUUUUUAUACUAUAAUUAAAUAGUUCUUAUUA
rnacentral:tRNA from 1 species